AACUUAUACUUAUGCCUGAAUAUGAAAAUAAUAAUCAUAAGAUCAAAUACUAGGUAACCGGCGUCUAUGUCACGAAGGCGCCAGCCUCAGUCGGUCACUCUGGCCUGGAUCUCCUUGAGUAAAGGGCCUAGUAAAAAUCUACAAUGGAGGACCAACUACUAGUGGGUGAAGGACAAGUGUUCGUUUAUCUGCAGUGGCUUCCUGGCUAGCCAUCAAAUGUGUAGCUUUUCCAAUGAAGCUGAAUUAAGAUCCAUGAUUGACAUGCCUUUUGGCAGCAGGCUGAAGCUGCGAGGUCCAGCAGAUCCGGAUUCUUCUGUGGUUAACUUCUUCCUUAGGUUGAAAAAAUAUUUCCUGUUGUCCAUCUUCUCAACUACUUUCUUCAGUGGCAUAAUUGACAUCUCCCAGAAAGAUCUAGGAUCACUUGUGUAAGGUUUCCUGACUGUGAACUGAACUGGUUCUGCCAUGAGUUUUCUGCCAUGAGUUUGAGGUCUUGCAAUGAUUCUAUCCAGGAAAAUGGCUGAAAGGUCUUGCAAAAAUUCUAUCCAGGAAAACCUCUGAAAGAAAGGCUUGAGGCAAGUGUUAAUGAAUUUGACACAAGUCGACAUAAGGAAGUGAACCACAAACUAAGGCCAUUUGGAUAUUGGUAUGGCCAAUUCACUGGAGUGGAAAUCUUGAUGCAGCAGUACAAAUUCUCUUAGUACCUGAGGUCCAUGAUGUAGGGGGACCUAUCCAGGGAAGGCACUGGCUUGCUCAAGUCCCAGAAGGCCAGACUGGUGCAGUGGAUUUGUGGGUAGAAUAAACCCUUCCUGUUUUAUACCAAUAAAAAUUACAUGCUUCAAA